AGGCAAGCGAGUGACACUGGGAUACCAAGGGCAGCGAUGGGUUUGGUGCAUCCACACUCUGCCAAAGGCUUCCCGUGGGGAUGAUGCCAACCGAUGUCCUCUUCCGAAACCCUUCAUGCGUGCUCCAUGGCUCUCUCUGAGCCCUUCCUCAGGACUCUCAUCAGCUUUGCAGCUCCUUUCUCCUCCUCGUUGCAUCGGGAAGGGGCACAUGGGGCCACAUCAAAGCAGAAAUACACGUGGAAGGACGCACUGUGAACUCUGAUUUGGUCCAAAGCACAAUGUGGCAAGAUUUUCCAUGCAAGACAUGACGAGAAGAGCUUUGGGUGAUCUGGGGCCAUGAGUUUCCAUCUCCAACUGUUCCGUUCCACUCCCCAGCAGAGGCCAAAUGCUUUCAUUAUUCCUUCUUUAUUAAUUAUUUCUUUUGGAGAUCAUUGCAGGGCUUAUCCAAACCUCCUCAGCCGGGGUAGUUAAGGUGAGGACUAUUCUGGAUGCAGUCAAAAUUAGCACUGCUAUUUGUACUGCAAAUUAGCUGGUACUUUAAAAAUUCCCAAGUUGGAUCGUGCCACUUCUUUCACUUCGCCUUUUGUCGUCCGAUGCCAGAGACAAUCUCAGCUCCAUUUCUAGUUUGGCUGCCCUGAGAACCCACAAGAAAUCCCAAUCUGGUGAGCACAGCUCCUUUUAGGGCUGAAGAAUGCCCUCAGACACCGCGUGCAGCUCCGCGGGCUCCCAGCUGCCCCCCAAACCCGCCACGGGCGGGCAAGGGCAGAGGGGAGAAUGGCAAAAAGAAAAGCACAGAAAACACGGAAGAUCCACCAUCGUCCAGUAAAAUUGCUUUUAUUUCUGUAAUUUCCUAAGUAUAAAACAAAUCAGCCCAAUAUUGUGUGAACAGAGUGGUCGGCGUGCAUGUGACGGCAACAAGCCUGCUGGCUGCGCCGCGGGCACUAGGACACGACGUUAGAAGCGAUAAUUGAGUGGAAAAAUAUCUCUCAUAUAAUAAAAUAGGAAACCUCAUUUCUUUCAGUUCUACCCCUCAGGUAACACCCUCCCCCCACCC